UAAAGCUUCAAACUGGGAUUAGAUACCCCACUAUAAGGAGCGAAAAAUUCAAUAUCUAAGCACUAAGGCUUAAAAGUGAUUUAUAUAACUAAAAAGCUAAAACUUAAAGAACAUGGCGGCGGAAAUAAAAUUUAGGGGAACUUACCAGAUAAUUGACAACCCUCAAAAAAAAUCACCUUUAUUCAAAGUUUGUAUACCGCCGUCUUGGGCCCUCUUAAGGAGGGCCCAAAACUAUAUAAUAAACAAGACAGGUCAUGGUGCAGCCUAUAUAGAGGACUGUAAGGUGAGUUACAAUAGUGAUUUACUUCGGAAUAAAAAUGUAAGAAUAAAAGGAAGAUGGACUUAACAGUAAUUGCUAAAGAAAUAUGCUUUGAAAUACAAAGAUUUUCGUGCACACACCGCCCGUCACCCUCUGCAGUCAA
rnacentral:rRNA from 1 species